AGCGCUGCCGGCGCUAUAUAAGGGAAAGCGAUUAUAAUAGUUUCGCCUACGGUUUUGAAUAGCCGACGCUAUAAAAUAUUCAUGGUUUACUGGUACAUACCUAUUUUAAAGUACAGUAUUCCAUAAAUGGUAGAAGAUGUUACGAAGCCAGUACCGCCGGCGAUUGAAAGCGCGGACGAAUGAGUAACAAAGGGUAAGGUUAAAUCGCCGAAGUUAGAUUUCGGAUAGUUGCGUAAGCGACGGGAUUACAUAGGUACAUCGGUAACGAUGUAAUUAGUAGGGCAUUGGAUUUAGACGCUAAAUAAUAUGUACGGUAGUAGAAUACCGGCUAUAAAUA
rnacentral:sRNA from 12 species